rnacentral:misc_RNA from 1 species
UGGGUUUGACAUAUAGGGAAAUCCUCCAGAGAUGGGGGGUCCGUAAGGGUCCUAUACAGGUGGUGCAUGGCUGUCGUCAGCUCGUGUCGUGAGAUGUUGGGUUAAGUCCCGCAACGAGCGCAACCCUCGUCCUAUGUUGCCAGCACGUUAUGGUGGGGACUCAUAGGAGACUGCCGGGGUCAACUCGGAGGAAGGUGGGGAUGACGUUGAACGGUUGGUU